CGGCACGGGUGAGUAACACGUAGGUAAUGUACCUUUGGGUGGGGAAUAACUUAGGGAAACUUAAGCUAAUACCGCAUAAUGCAGCGGCUCCUUCGGGAGACAGUUGUUAAAGAUUUAUCGCCUAAAGAGCAGCCUGCGGCAGAUUAGCUAGUUGGUAAGGUAACGGCUUACCAAGGCUACGAUCUGUAUCCGACCUGAGAGGGUGGUCGGACACACUGACACUGAAUAACGGGUCAG
rnacentral:rRNA from 1 species